GACGAACGCUGGCGGCGUGCUUAACACAUGCAAGUCGAACGGAAAGGCCCUGCUUUUGUGGGGUGCUCGAGUGGCGAACGGGUGAGUAACACGUGAGUAACCUGCCCUUGACUUUGGGAUAACUUCAGGAAACUGGGGCUAAUACCGGAUAGGAGCUCCUGCUGCAUGGUGGGGGUUGGAAAGUUUCGGCAGUUGGGGAUGUACUCGCGGCUUAUCAGCUUGUUGGUGGGGUAGUGGGUUACCAAGGCUUUGACGGGUAGCCGGCCUGAGAGGGUGACCGGCCACACGGGAACUGAGAGAGGGGCCAGACUACUAAGGGAGGCAGCAGUAGGGAAUCGUACGCAAGGGGGGGAAGCCGGAAGGAGCAACGCCGCGUGAGUGACGAAGGGCUUCGGAGCGGAAAACGGUGUGAUGAGGGAAGAACAAAUGUGUAAGUAAAUAUGCACGGCUUGACGGGACCUAAUCAGAAAGCCACGGCUAACUACGUG
rnacentral:rRNA from 1 species